rnacentral:rRNA from 1 species
CCUACGGGAGGCAGCAGUGGGGAAUAUUGCACAAUGGGCGCAAGCCUGAUGCAGCCAUGCCGCGUGUGUGAAGAAGGCCUUCGGGUUGUAAAGCACUUUCAGCGGGGAGGAAGGCGUUAAGGUUAAUAACCUUGUCGAUUGACGUUACCCGCAGAAGAAGCACCGGCUAACUCCGUGCCAGCAGCCGCGGUAAUACGGAGGGUGCAAGCGUUAAUCGGAAUUACUGGGCGUAAAGCGCACGCAGGCGGUCUGUCAAGUCGGAUGUGAAAUCCCCGGGCUCAACCUGGGAACUGCAUUCGAAACUGGCAGGCUAGAGUCUUGUAGAGGGGGGUAGAAUUCCAGGUGUAGCGGUGAAAUGCGUAGAGAUCUGGAGGAAUACCGGUGGCGAAGGCGGCCCCCUGGACAAAGACUGACGCUCAGGCGCGAAAGCGUGGGGAGCAAACAGGAUUAGAUACCCCUGUAGUC